rnacentral:tRNA from 2 species
CGGGGCGUAGCGCAGCCUGGUAGCGCAUCUGCUUUGGGAGCAGAGGGCCGUUGGUUCGAAUCCAGCCGCCCCGACCA